rfam:Populus trichocarpa isolate Nisqually-1 chromosome 17, whole genome shotgun sequence.
UCUAGAACUCAAGAUAUGAGCUGAAAACUUAAUAGGGUCUGAGCUGCAGGACAAGUUCUGACUUCUCCGUUGUUGCUAAGAUUUGAACUUGAAAACAGCAGAAUUGAGUCUUGGUCUCUCAUGAAAGUUUUAGGUCUAUGUCUUAGCUUUCCAUC